rnacentral:rRNA from 1 species
AGUGAACGCUGGCGGUAGGCCUAACACAUGCAAGUCGAACGGCAGCACAGUAAGAGCUUGCUCUUACGGGUGGCGAGUGGCGGACGGGUGGGGAAUACAUCGGAAUCUACUUUUUCGUGGGGGAUAACGUAGGGAAACUUACGCUAAUACCGCAUACGACCUACGGGUGAAAUCAGGGGAUCUUCGGACCUUGCGCGAUUGAAUGAGCCGAUGUCGGAUUAGCUAGUUGGCGGGGUAAAGGCCCACCAAGGCGACGCUCCGUAGCUGGUCUGAGAGGAUGAUGAGCCACACGGGAACUGAGACACGGUCCAGACUCCUACGGGAGGCAGCAGUGGGGAAUAUUGGACAAUGGGCGCAAGCCUGAUCCAGCCAUACCGCGUGGGUGAAGAAGGCCUUCGGGUUGUAAAGCCCUUUUGUUGGGAAAGAAAAGCAGCAGGUUAAUACCCCGCUGUUCUGACGGUACCCAAAGAAUAAGCACCGGCUAACUUCGUG